AGCGGAGGAAAAGAAACCAACAGGGAUUGCCUAGUAACGGCGAGUGAAGCGGCAACAGCUCAAAUUUGAAAUCUGGCCCUUGGGUCCGAAUUGUAAUUUGUAGAGGAUGAUUUUGGUGCGGUAUCUUCCGAGUUCCUUGGAACAGGACGCCUUAGAGGGUGAGAGCCCCGUACGGUUGAAUGCCUAGCCUCUGUAAAUCUCCUUCGACGAGUCGAGUAGUUUGGGAAUGCUGCUCUAAAUGGGAGGUAAAUUUCUUCUAAAGCUAAAUAUUGGCCAGAGACCGAUAGCGCACAAGUAGAGUGAUCGAAAGAUGAAAAGCACUUUGAAAAGAGGGUUAAAUAGCACGUGAAAUUGUUGAAAGGGAAGGAUUUGUGACCAGACUUUUUCUGGGCGGAUCAUCCGGGGUUCUCUCCGGUGCACUUCGCCCAGUAAAGGCCAGCAUCGGUUUUCGGCGUGGGAUAAAAGCAGUAGGAAUGUGGCUCUCUACGGGGAGUGUUAUAGCCUAUUGUAUAAUACCGCGCUGGGGACCGAGGUUCGCGCUUCUGCAAGGAUGCUGGCGUAAUGGUUAUCAAUCACCCGUCUUGAAACACGGACCAAGGAGUCGAACAUUUGUGCGAGUGUUUGGGUGUUAAACCCUCACGCGUAAUGAAAGUGAACGGAGGUGAGAGCCCUUACGGGUGCAUCAUCGACCGAUCCUGAAGUUUUCGGAUGGAUUUGAGUAAGAGCAUAACUGUUCGGACCCGAAAGAUGGUGAACUAUGCGUGGAUAGGGUGAAGCCAGAGGAAACUCUGGUGGAGGCUCGCAGCGGUUCUGACGUGCAAAUCGAUCGUCAAAUCUGCGCAUGGGGGCGAAAGACUAAUCGAACCAUCUAGUAGCUGGUUACCGC
rnacentral:rRNA from 1 species